CCCACUUGAGCCCUCAAAGGAAAGAUCUACUGAAGAGAAGAGGUUCCUGAAACUUUGGCAAAGCAAGGGAUGCCUCUGCUCCUCUGGAUAGCAGACAACCCACAGAGAGACACAGGCUCAGCCAGCGGCUGCCCCCGGCAGUUCCACCCUGUUAUCCCAGCUCCAGAGGAAAGGAGAGUGAUGCAGGGAAAGGGUGGUCCUGACAAAGGGCGGAGCGGAUGUGAAGAUCCAGAUCUGGAAGGUGUUAGGUGUGCUCCUGGCCUGGAAAAGCGCCUCCCAGAGUGCUGGGAGAACGGAUGCCUGAGAAGUGACGGUGGGAGUGUGAUUACGAUCCCGGAAGUUUUCCUCCUUCUGCUGGCAGUGAAGUGGCCUAUAGAGGUUUUGAGAAGAUGGAGGAAGGGUAGGCAGGAAGAGUGAGGAAUAUGAAGGGGGUUUAAGGGCCCUGAUCUUUUCAUCCUCAACAAUGGAAGUGAC
ensembl:lncRNA